AUUGAACGCUGGCGGCAUGCUUUACACAUGCAAGUCGAACGGUAACAGGUUAAGCUGACGAGUGGCGAACGGGUGAGUAAUGCAUCGGAACGUGCCCGAUCGUGGGGGAUAACGCAGCGAAAGCUGCGCUAAUACCGCAUACGAUCUGAGGAUGAAAGCGGGGGACCGUAAGGCCUCGCGCGAUCGGAGCGGCCGAUGUCAGAUUAGGUAGUUGGUGGGGUAAAGGCCCACCAAGCCGACGAUCUGUAGCUGGUCUGAGAGGACGACCAGCCACCCUGGGACUGAGACACGGCCCAGACUCCUGCGGGAGGCAGCAGUGGGGAAUUUUGGACAAUGAGCGAAAGCCUGAUCCAGCAAUGCCGCGUGCAGGAAGAAGGCCUUCGGGUUGUAAACUGCUUUUGUACGGAGCGAAAAGGUCCUUUCUAAUACAAGGGGCUCAUGACGGUACCGUAAGAAUAAGCACCGGCUAACUACGUGCCAGCCGCCGCCGUAA
rnacentral:rRNA from 1 species